AUGAUGAUAUCCCUUUAUUAUAAGUUUAUGGUUAGAUAACUGAAACUUUGUGUUGAAUAUUCUAGGGCGGUCUGAUUUU